CAUGCAAGUCGAACGAGAUUUUCGGAUCUAGUGGCGCACGGGUGAGUAACGCGUGGGAACCUACCUUUUAGCACGGGACAACGUUUGGAAACGAACGCUAAUACCGUAUACGCCCUCCGGGGGAAAGGUCAGCCGCUGAAAGAGGGGCCCGCGUCUGAUUAGCUUGUUGGUAAGGUAAUGGCUUACCAAGGCUACGAUCAGUAGCUGGUCUGAGAGGAUGAUCAGCCACACUGGGACUGAGACACGGCCCAGACUCCUACGGGAGGCAGCAGUGGGGAAUAUUGGACAAUGGAGGCAACUCUGAUCCAGCAAUGCCGCGUGUGUGAUGAAGGCCCUAGGGUUGUAAAGCACUUUCAACGGUGAAGAUGAUGACGGUAGCCGUAGAAGAAGCCCCGGCUAACUUCGUGCCAGCAGCCGCGGUAAUACGAAGGGGGCGAGCGUUAUUCGGAAUUAUUGGGCGUAAAGGGCUCGCAGGCUGCUUGAACAGUUAGACGUGAAAUCCCCGGGCUCAACCUGGGAACUGCGUUUAAUACUAGUAAGCUAGAGAGAUAGAGAGGAAAGUGGAACUCCCAGUGUAGAGGUGAAAUUCGUAGAUAUUGG
rnacentral:rRNA from 1 species